rnacentral:rRNA from 1 species
GACGAACGCUGGCGGCGUGCUUAACACAUGCAAGUCGAACGGAAAGGCCCUGCUUUUGUGGGGUGCUCGAGUGGCGAACGGGUGAGUAACACGUGAGUAACCUGCCCUUGACUUUGGGAUAACUUCAGGAAACUGGGGCUAAUACCGGAUAGGAGCUCCUGCUGCAUGGUGGGGGUUGGAAAGUUUCGGCGGUUGGGGAUGGACUCGCGGCUUAUCGGCUUGUUGGUGGGGUAGUGGCUUACCAAGGCUUUGACGGGUAGCCGGCCUGAGAGGGUGACCGGCCACAUUGGGACUGAGAUACGGCCCAGACUCCUACGGGAGGCAGCAGUUGGGAAUAUUGCACAAUGGGCGGAAGCCUGAUGCAGCAACGCCGCGUGCGGGAUGACGGCCUUCGGGUUGUAAACCGCUUUCGCCUGUGACGAAGCGUGAGUGACGGUAAUGGGUAAAGAAGCACCGGCUAACUACGUG